rnacentral:sRNA from 1 species
AAGUAGUGGUAGUGAUUUUCAUUUAAAUCUGCAGUCAACUCAAUAUAACUAUAUUUUUAUUCUUUUAGCCCUGGUUUCCUGAGGUUUGUGAGGGUUUUAUGUGGCAUGUCUUCUGAUGAAAGGAAAGCAUUCUUGCAGUUUACCACUGGUUGUUCAACUCUACCCCCAGGUGGACUGGCUAACCUGCAUCCCAGGCUCACGGUUGUACGCAAGGUUGAUGCUACUGAUGCAAGCUAUCCAUCAGUCAAUACAUGUGUGCAUUACCUUAAGUUGCCUGAAUAUUCUUCCGAGGAGAUCAUGAGAGAGCGCCUGCUAGCUGCUACAAUGGAGAAAGGCUUUCAUCUCAAUUGAGCUUUAAAGUGCAAUGGGAGACAUCAGAGACUUUAAAAAUACUAGUGAAGCCUCUUGUGUUUGUGUGCAGAGAAGUAUAUGAUCCUCCAUGCUAAUGACACUUGCCUUUUUUUCCACCAUUAAGGCUUUAAGAACAUGUGGAAUAAGUUUUUUAGCUGCUAAUGACAAAACAAAUCCUGUAACUUAUAGCACAGAACACUGUGUUACUUUACAAGGGCUUAUGUGACUGGAAUAAGGUGGUCCUACUUGACUGUUCCAAAGAGCAGCUUCUCAGAUCUUCAGUGUUCACUGGUAAAUUUCUAACCGUGUAUUUGUGU